AGCUGUGUGAUGAGCACAUAGCGAACUAUUCUUUUGCCUUUUACUAAAGAAUACCGUGUGCGCGUCACUUAAAGCGGCAUACGCUAAUUUUUGAAAGAGCUCUCUUUAUUGAGAGCUCUGCAAUAUCAGUUUAAAUUUUUAUUUGAGUAGGAUGGGAAUAUGGUGGCUUGUUGUCGUUUAGUCUUAUUGGUUGAUAAGGAAUAAAGUUGUACUCAAGGAUAGAAAACUAAGUUAAUAUAAUUUCCAUCUAGGACUUUAUUAAAGUUAGAUUCUACUGAUUUUCAAAUCUAUGUUACUCUUGGUUAACUAUAAUUUUGUUCGAAAGGAUUAGAGCUAUGUAGCACGGACACUUCUCAGAUUAGGCGUGAUACGUAUCCGACACCGACACAUAAUUACAUUAAAGACCGUAUCAG
rnacentral:lncRNA from 1 species